AAACCGUUCAGGGGUAAACCUGAGAAACCCAAAAGAUCGAAUGGGGAGAUUCAUCGUCAGCGACUCUGGCUUUCGUGUGGUUCGCGAUGUUCGGGGCUUCGGUCUCGCAGCACUCGUCCACUGCGGUAUGUCUAGGGCCGUCGGCGUGCACUUCUCCCCUAGUAGGACGUUACGACCCGUUGGGUGUUGGUUUACGGUCUGGGUGGUUGACUGUUUCGUCGCACUCUGUGCGUGUACGGAGCAGGCCCCCGGUCACCUGACCAACUGCCCGACGGUACUCGUACGGUAUCGGGCCGCACUUUGUGCGUCAGACUCGUCGCAAGCGCGAGCAGGUGUUUAUCCGGAUGUACGGACCUAGUGCCGUCACCGGGCCUGAUCAGCUGUUGGUCGACGAUGUAUCUCGGACUGGCUCAAAAUAAAAAUGAUACCGGUCAGUGUACGCUACUGCUUUGGGUACUUUCAGGA
rnacentral:rRNA from 1 species